rnacentral:rRNA from 1 species
UACAGAGGUCCCAAGCGUUGUUCGGAUUUACUGGGCGUAAAGGGUGCGUAGGCGGUCGGGUAAGUCUGAUGUGAAAUCUCCAAGCUUAACUUGGAAAUGGCAUCGGAUACUAUUCGGCUCGAGGAAUGGAGGGGAGACUGGAAUACUUGGUGUAGCAGUGAAAUGCGUAGAUAUCAAGUGGAACACCAGUGGCGAAGGCGAGUCUCUGGACAUUUCCUGACGCUGAGGCACGAAAGCCAGGGGAGCAAACGGG